rnacentral:rRNA from 1 species
GUCGCUAGAUCUUAUGGAGCCGACGUUGAAAUACCACCCUGGUGUGUUUGAGGUUCUAACCUUGGCCCGUUAUCCGGGUUGGUGACAGUGUAUGGUGGGCAGUUUGACUGGGGCGSCAAUGAGGCCGCAGAGAAUCGGUGGCUGCAACUAGUUUAUUAAAAACACAGCACUCUGCAAAGACGAAAGUCGACGUAUAGGGUGUGACUCCUGCCCGGUGCUGGAAGAUUAAAUGAUGGGGUGCAAGCUCUUGACUGAAGUCCCAGUAAACGGCGGCCGUAACUAUAACGGUCCUAAGGUAGCGAAAUUCCUUGUCGGGUAAGUUCCGACCUGCACGAAUGGAGUAAUGAUGGCCACACUGUCUCCUCCAGAGACUCAGCGAAGUUGAAAUGUUUGUGAUGAUGCAAUCUCCCCGCGGAAAGACGGAAAGACCCCAUGAACCUUUACUGUAGCUUUACAUUGGACUUUGAACAGAUCUGUGUAGGAUAGGUGGGAGGCUUUGAAGUAAGGUCGCUAGAUCUUAUGGAGCCGACGUUGAAAUACCACCCUGGUGUGUUUGAGGUUCUAACCUUGGCCCGUGAUCCGGGUUGGGGACAGUGUAUGGUGGGCAGUUUGACUGGGGCGGUCUCCUCCCAAAGCGUAACGGAGGAGUUCGAAGGUACGCUAGUUACGGUCGGAAAUCGUGACGAUAGUGCAUUGGCAUAAGCGUGCUUGACUGCGAGACUGACAAGUCGAGCAGGUACGAAAGUAGGACAAAGUGAUCCGGUGGUUCUGUAUGGAAGGGCCAUCGCUCAACGGAUAAAAGGUACUCUGGGGAUAACAGGCUGAUACCGCCCAAGAGUUCAUAUCGACGGCGGUGUUUGGCACCUCGAUGUCGGCUCAUCUCAUCCUGGGGCUGUAGCCGGUCCCAAGGGUAUGGCUGUUCGCCAUUUAAAGAGGUACGUGAGCUGGGUUUAAAACGUCGUGAGACAGUUUGGUCCCUAUCUUCCGUGGGCGCUGCAAGAUUGAGAGAGCCUGCUCCUAGUACGAGAGGACCGGAGUGGACGCACCUCUGGUGUAUCGGUUGUCACGCCAGUGGCAUUGCCGAGUAGCUAAGUGCGGAAGAGAUAACCGCUGAAAGCAUCUAAGCGGGAAACUCGUCUCAAGAUGAGUCUUGCCGGGGCCUUGAGCCCCCUGAAGAGUCGUUCGAGACCAGGACGUUGAUAGGCUGGGUGUGGAAGCGCAGUAAUGCGUUAAGCUAACCAGUACUAAUUGCUCGUGAGGCUUGACCCU